rnacentral:rRNA from 1 species
GAUGAACGCUGGCGGCGUGCCUAAUACAUGCAAGUCGAGCGAACAGAUGAGGAGCUUGCUCCUCUGACGUUAGCGGCGGACGGGUGAGUAACACGUGGAUAACCUACCUAUAAGACUGGGAUAACUUCGGGAAACCGGAGCUACUACCGGCUAAUAUAUUGAACCGCAUGGUUCAAUAGUGAAAGACGGUUUUGCUGUCACUUAUAGAUGGAUCCGCGCCGCAUUAGCUAGUUGGUAAGGUAACGGCUUACCAAGGCAACGAUGCGUAGCCGACCUGAGAGGGUGAUCGGCCACACUGGAACUGAGACACGGCCCAGACUCCUACGGGAGGCAGCAGUAGGGAAUCUUCCGCAAUGGGCGAAAGCCUGACGGAGCAACGCCGCGUGAGUGAUGAAGGUCUUCGGAUCGUAAAACUCUGUUAUUAGGGAAGAACAAAUGUGUAAGUAAAUAUGCACGUCUUGACGGUACCUAAUCAGAAAGCAACGGCUAACUACGUG